rnacentral:lncRNA from 1 species
AGCGAUAUCCGUCUAUUAUGGGACAAUCUAAAAGUUGAAAUUAGAGACGAAUCUAUUCUAUACUGUAAAAGAAAAUCGAAAUUAUCAAGGGAGACAACAAGAAAAUUAGAAAGCGAAUUAGAACACUUAACGACAAUCAGAGAUGAACAAUUAAACGAAGAUGAAACACUAACAAAUAAUAUAAAACAAUUAGAAUUACAAUUAGACACAAUUUAUGAAUAUAAAGCAAAGGGGGCUCAAAUUAGAUCAAGGGAGAAAUGGAUAGAACUAGGGGAAAAGAAUAAUUCUUAUUUUCUGGGAUUAGAAAAACAGCGACAAGUCAAAAAAUCUAUUAACAAACUCAAAAAUGAAAAUAACGAGGUAACAACAAAUCAAGAACAAAUUUUAGAAAUGAUUAAAAACUAUUAUAAAAUAUUAUAUACAACCACGGCU